rnacentral:rRNA from 1 species
CCCUUAGAUGUUCUGGGCCGCACGCGCGCUACACUGAUGCAUUCAACGAGUCUAAAACCUGCUCUGAUAGUGGUGGGUAAUCUUUUGAAUGUGCAUCGUGAUUGGGAUAGAUGAUUGCAAUUUUUCAUCUUCAACGAGGAAUGCCUAGUAAACGCAAGUCAUCAGCUUGUAUUGAUUACGUCCCUGCCCUUUGUACACACCGCCCGUCGCUCCUACCGAUUGAAUGAUCCGAUGAAUAUCAUGGAUUGAGGAUGCAAGUAGGUUAGCCUAUCUUCAUCUUCGAGAAGUGAAGUAAAUCUUAUCAUUUAGAGGAAGGAGAAGUCGUAACA